AGGAUGAGCCCUUGCACUAUUAGCUUGUUGGUGGGGUAACGGCCUACCAAGGCUACGAUGGUUAGCUGGUCUGAGAGGAUGACCAGCCACACUGGAACUGAGACACGGUCCAGACUCCUACGGGAGGCAGCAGUGAGGAAUAUUACGCAAUGGGGGAAACCCUGACGCAGUGACGCCGCGUGAGUGAUGAAGGCUUUCGAGUCGUAAAGCUCUGUUAGGUGGAAAGAAACAUUCCAACGCUAAUAUCGUUGGAACUUGACGGUACCACCAGAGGAAGCACCGGCUAACUCCGUGCCAGCAGCCGCGGUAAUACGGAGGGUGCAAGCGUUGUUCGGAAUUACUGGGCGUAAAGGGCGUGUAGGCGGUUAGGCAAGUCAGGUGUGAAAUCCCUUGGCUCAACCAAGGAAGUGCGCUUGAAACUGCUUAACUAGAGUACAGGAGGGGAAAGUGGAAUUCCCAGUGUAGAGGUGAAAUUCAUAGAUAUUGGGAGGAACACCGGUAGCGAAGGCGGCUUUCUGGCCUGAUACUGACGCUGAGACGCGAAAGCGUGGGGAGCAAACAGGAUUAGAUACCCUGGUAGUCCACGCCGUAAACGAUGUGCACUAGGUGUAGGAAGUGUUGACCCUUUCUGUGCCGAAGCUAACGCAUUAAGUGCACCGCCUGGGGAGUACGGUCGCAAGGCUAAAACUCAAAGGAAUUGACGG
rnacentral:rRNA from 1 species